GAAAGGUCACUUGGCCUACCUGAGUUACAUAGGUCAAAGAAAACUCUGGAGGAGGUGACACCUAUGCUGCAUCCUUAAGGUAUGCUGAUCUCUGAAAUGAUAAGUUUUGUGCAGAAGAGUUCAUUCACAAAGCAGCCAAAGGUAGCAAUGGGCUGGCAAGUUUUGAAUUAGCCUCCAUGAAGGUUCUCCUGGAUCCUAGCCAAGGGCUGAAGCUUGCUGUCCCAGGAAAGAUGUACAAGCCUGGUCUAUUCUAGACCCUGGAGGUGACUUGUGUGCUGACUAGUCUCAGCACAGGACCUACAAGCCAAGUGCCUUUGGUAAAGCCAUCUUCUGUCAAACAGGCGACAUCCAAAAGGGUAAAAAUAACCGCAGCAGCAGCAGGAACAGCAGCAUCAACAACAACCACCUUAUUUCGUAAGAUAGAAUGAACAUUCAGAUGCUGUUGGUGAUACUGGUAGCUCAGUGCCUCUUCCUCAAAUCUUCAAUCAUAAAAGGAAACAUAGUGGAAUGUGGUUUUCUCUCCAAGGAAAAAGAGGACUGCCCUUGGCUUGCCUGUGUUCCUUGUGGCUUAAAAAUAUCAUUUCCCAAACAACCAGACACCAAUGCACUUCUGUUAGAGUGGCCCAAAUCCUGGACACUGUCAACACUAAGUGUAGCAAGGAUGUGGAUGGAGCAAUGGAAACUUCAUUCACUGCUGGUGGCGAUGCAAAAUGAUUCUGCCACUCUGGAAGCCAGGCAGCUCCUGAUCACACUAAACACACUCUAACCAUUCAAUUGCACUCCUCAUAAUUUAUCCAAAGGAUUCUGAAACUUAUAUCCACACAAUACCUGCACAUGAAUGUUUACAACAGCUUUAUUCAUAAUUGUCCAAACUUAGAGACAGCCAAGCUGUCCUUCAAUAGGUGAGUGGAUAAAAUACGGUAAGUCCAGACAAUGGAAUAUUACUUGGUGCCAAAAGGAAAUGAGCUCUUGAGGCAUGAAAAGACACAGAGGAAAUUUAAUGUAUAUUACUAAGCAAAAGAAGCCAAUCUGAAAAGUUUACACACUGUGUAAUUACAACUAUAUGGUGUUCUGGUAUCUUUGACUUUUUUUUUUUUGUACCAGGGAUCGAACUCAGGACCUUGUGCUUUUGAGGCAGGUGGCAGAACCACUGAGCUAAAUCUCUGGCCAACUAUGUGGUGUUCUGGAAGAGGCAAAAGGACAGAGAGGGUAAAAGGUCUGUGCUUUACAGGGCUUGCAGUGGAGGGCCAAUGAAUAGCUGAAGCACAAGUGAGUUUUAGGGCAGUGAGCCACUCUGGGAUAUUCUGAUGGUAAAGAUGUCAUUAGACAUUUGUCCAAGCCUGUGGAUAUACAUUACCAAGGGUGAACACGGGCUUUGGGGAAUGAUGACACAUCAAUGUAGGUUCAGCACUUGUAAUAAAUAUGCUAUUCUGGUGUGAGAUGUUGACUGGGGGAGGCUAUGCACGUGGGAGGGCUGCAGGUGUACUGGAAAUCUCUGUACCUUCUGCCAAUUUUGUUGUGAACCUAAAACUUCUAAAAAAUGAAAUUUAUUAAAAACAA